AACGUAGGGGGCCAGCGUUGCUCGGAAUUACUGGGCGUAAAGGGUCCGUAGGCGGUGUGGCAAGUCGGAAGUGAAAUCUCUGGGCUUAACUCAGAGGCUGCUCCCGAAACUGCUAUGCUAGAGUGUGAGAGAGGCGAGUGGAAUUGCGGGUGUAGCGGUGAAAUGCGUAGAUAUCCGCAGGAACAUCCGAGGCGAAAGCGGCUCGCUGGAUCACAACUGACGCUGAGGGACGAAAGCUAGGGGAGCAAACAGG
rnacentral:rRNA from 1 species